GUGUUCACAACCAGUCAGUGGAGCUGAAUGAGCAUCAUCUGAUACUUUUAAAAUAGCCAAUGUUUUAAUCCUCCUCUGGUUCCUUGUUAUAUCCUGCUCUGUACGUCAGGGAUCUCUUUCUUCCACACUCCCAGAGACGGUCAUUGAUGCUGAUAACAAGAUCGAAGAGCUUUCAGUCUGGAAAUGGCGACAAGCAAAACAGUAGACUGAAUCCUUUCUAACGGAAUACUCAAGCCAAGGGUAAUUCUUGUUGAAGAACAUCACAGCAGGGCGUUGCGGGAUGUAACGUGGCGCUGCAGAG